CGUGGGGAGCAAACAGGAUUAGAUACCUGGUAGUCCACGCCGUAAACGAUGUCGACUUGGAGGUUGUGCCCUUGAGGCGUGGCUUCCGGAGCUAACGCGUUAAGUCGACCGCUGGGGAGUACGGCCGCAAGGUUAAAACUCAAAUGAAUUGACGGGGGCCCGCACAAGCGGUGGAGCAUGUGGUUUAAUUCGAUGCAACGCGAAGAACCUUACCUGGUCUUGACAUCCACGGAAGUUUUCAGAGAUGAGAAUGUGCCUUCGGGAACCGUGAGACAGGUGCUGCAUGGCUGUCGUCAGCUCGUGUUGUGAAAUGUUGGGUUAAGUCCCGCAACGAGCGCAACCCUUAUCCUUUGUUGCCAGCGGUCCGGCCGGGAACUCAAAGGAGACUGCCAGUGAUAAACUGGAGGAAGGUGGGGAUGACGUCAAGUCAUCAUGGCCCUUACGACCAGGGCUACACACGUGCUACAAUGGCGCAUACAAAGAGAAGCGACCUCGCGAGAGCAAGCGGACCUCAUAAAGUGCGUCGUAGUCCGGAUUGGAGUCUGCAACUCGACUCCAUGAAGUCGGAAUCGCUAGUAAUCGUGGAUCAGAAUGCCACGGUGAAUACGUUCCCGGGCCUUGUACACACCGCCCGUCACACCAUGGGAGUGGGUUGCAAAAGAAGUAGGUAGCUUAACCUUCGGGAGGGCGCUUACCACUUUGUGAUUCAUGACUGGGGUGAAGUCGUAACAAGGUAACCA
rnacentral:rRNA from 1 species